rnacentral:rRNA from 1 species
UACGAAGGUGGCAAGCGUUGUUCGGAUUUACUGGGCGUACAGGGAGCGUAGGCGGUUGGAUAAGCCCUCCGUGAAAUCUCCAGGCUUAACCUGGAAAGUGCAGAGGGGACUGUUCAGCUAGAGGAUGGGAGAGGAGCGCGGAAUUCCGGUGUAGCGGUGAAAUGCGUAGAGAUCGGGAGGAAGGCCGGUGGCGAAGGCGGCGCUCUGGAACAUUUCUGACGCUGAGGCUCGAAAGCGUGGGGAGCA